GAGACAGCAGUAGCCGCGGGAAAACGUAGGUGGCAAGCGUUGCCCGGAAUUAUUGGGCGUAAAGCGCGCGCAGGCGGAUAGGUCAGUCUGUCUUAAAAGUUCGGGGCUUAACCCCGUGAUGGGAUGGAAACUGCCGAUCUAGAGUAUCGGAGAGGAAAGUGGAAUUCCUAGUGUAGCGGUGAAAUGCGUAGAUAUUAGGAAGAGCACCAGUGGCGAAGGCGGCUCACUGGUCCAUUACUGACGCUGAGGUGCGAAAGCGUGGGGAGCAAACAGGAUUAGAGACCCCUGUAGUCCCUGUCUCUUAUACA
rnacentral:rRNA from 1 species